ACAACCGGACCACACUCUGCA
rnacentral:miRNA from 1 species